rnacentral:rRNA from 1 species
AUUGAACGCUGGCGGCAGGCCUAACACAUGCAAGUCGAACGAGUGGCGGACGGGUGAGUAAUGUCUGGGAAACUGCCUGAUGGAGGGGGAUAACUACUGGAAACGGUAGCUAAUACCGCAUACCAUCAGAUGUGCCCAGAUGGGGUUAGCUAGUUGGUGGGGUAAGGGUUCACCAAGGCGACGAUCCCUAGCUGGUCUGAGAGGAUGACCAGCCAAACUGGAACUGGGACACGGUCCAGACUCCUACGGGAGGCAGCAGUGGGGAAUAGUGCACAAGGGGGGCAAGCCUGAUGCAGCCAUGACGCGUGUAUGAAGAAGGCCUUCGGGUUGUAAGGUACUUUCAGCGGGGAGGCGUUACCCGCAGAGGAAGCACCGGCUAACUCCGUGCCAGCAGCCGCGGUAAUUC